UACGAAGGGUGCAAACGUUGCUCGGAAUUAUUGGGCGUAAAGCGCACGUAGGCGGCUUGGCAAGUCGGAUGUGAAAUCCCUCGGCUCAACCAAGGAAGUGCAUCCGAAACUGCUGAGCUUGAGUACUUAAGAGGAUCGCGGAAUUCCAGGUGUAGCGGUGAAAUGCGUAGAUAUCUGGAGGAACACCGGUGGCGAAGGCGGCGUCCUGGACCAACACUGACACUGAGGAGCGAAAGCCAGGGGAGCAAACGGG
rnacentral:rRNA from 1 species